ensembl:lncRNA
AAAACCUGUCAUCUGUCACUUAUCAUUUUGCAGUAGUACUAAUUUAUAGGUGGAAGUCUGCUUGUGAAAAGCCCUGUUGCUGUCAGUUAAUCUCUCUCCCAUUGUAUGUGGGUUUGUGCAAACGGGAAUUUGCUCAGCUUCUGCCUGCCAAUGCAUCCUGUCUCCUGCGGAGCAGACCAUCUCCAGCAACCAGCACACGGUGCGUGUGUAAUUUGCCUGGACAGCAACUUGGCAGUGCACCGUUACAGCCCUUCUGUAGACCUGCAGAAUCUUUUCUAGCUGGUAUCAUGAAGUUACAGCCAUACCUGCAAAAUACCUUUUUCACCAUAAUAUGCUUCACUAGUUGCUCCUACUGAGCAGCCAUUUAUUCUAUAGGCAUAUUCAUUAGAAUAAUUGCGCCGUUUGGGGAAUAUUCUGUUUUGUGAAACCUCCAGGGUAUGUUUUUGUGAACGAAGAGCAUUUGCAAAUUUUUAGUUUGUUUUUAACUUCAUUUGGACUUAAAUUACUUGAUUUGUGAAAGAGUAUUUUAGAAACCCACGUGUAGUUUGAUGGAAGCGCAUGCUGUGCUAUCACUAAGGUGUGUAGUUGGGAUGUCACUGUCGCCUCUCUGUUGUCUUUAACCUUUUCUUCUCAAGGAGACAGCCUCUGUCAUGUUAAAAAAUACCCUCAGGUUAUCCUCAUGGAUUAUUAGGAUGAUGCAUCCUCUGGUUUUCGUUAGCAAGAUUAAUGCUUAUCGUUAAGGUCACAAAUACCAUUCAUCAAAAUACUGUUCUUUCUUGCAAAAGGGUUUGGAAUUAUUUCAUUAGGAAGUUUGGAUUUCAUGCACAUCCUGUUAUUUAAGGGCUGUGUUUGAAGAAGGCUUUUUGUCUUUCACGGCAUGUCUUCUUUCUUCUUACUUCACUUGGAUCGUUGGCUUUCUUGGAAAUUGGAAGUUCAAGAAGUUUCUCUUGACCUGCCUGGGAUUCAGUCAUCAGCAAACAGCUGAGAUGCUGCUGCAAAAUGUGUUUUGCUUUUGGGCUGAGGGAAUGAAAGAGAAAUUAGUGUAGUACUCAUGCUGCCCAAGCCAGCUCUUAGUGAGCGCUUAGCAUUCCGCAUUUGGUUCUUGAUCUGAGACUUGUGGCUUCUGAGCAAUGUUUUGAUUAAAAAGAAAUAAAAAAAGUCUUGUUACUACUUUUCUCAAAAUAAGAACCAAUUGUAUGUUUUAAGAGCUGACUUCUGAUUAUGAAUGCUUUUUUAUCUUUGUCUCAAGAGACAUUAAGAUGCCUGAGAUUUUUGGCAUAAGUUGUCUUCACCUGAAUAACCAAAACUGCUGGUAGCUUUUGGUAAAUUCAGCAUUUCUCAUUGCAUACCGUAUGAUGCAUAGAAUACCCCUCUGUAUUUCUUACCUGCUACGUCUUUUCUUUUUGCAAAAGUCUUCACUUAAAAGUCACUUACAGAGUUUAAUAUUAUGUCUUUUUUCUUCACUUCUUCAUGCAUUCAUUUCCAUAUGACCCCUAAAUAGCUUCACGAAACGUGCUGGGGGAACAGACCUAUGAAUGGAUUGAAUCUGGCACAGCCAAAGCUCUCUAGUCGCCUUCAGUUGCUGUAAUGCAGAAAUUUAUCAGAAGUGAUAUGUAGCAACCAGACCUGGCUUCUAAUUCUGCUGAUCCCAGCAUAUAUGGAAGGCAAUGUAGUGACAGUUAAAGUGUGUAGUCAUGGGUUUGUUAUGAUAAUGUUGCAUGCUGAAGGAAGCCCGGUUCUCUAAUAACAAUGUAGAACAUCGCUCCUUGUAAUACAUACGUGUUUCUGCUUGUGUUCCAAGUGUCACUGGGUGGGGCUGUAAGAAAAACCAAGAGCAGCUGUGGUGGUGAAGCAGGGUGAGUAAAAGUUUGAGUUAUUGUUAACAUAUGUACCACUGCAAUAAACCCCCAAUUUGAUCACUUACAUGAGCACAGCAUAUUGCUGAAUAAACCCCCUCUGGAUACAUUUGUAUUCCAAAACAUGUCAUAAGGAAAGAUUAACAAUUUUGGAAAGGGAUUGUUUCCUUGGGAUGCAGAUUUCAUUUCCUUGCCUGGUAUUCUUGGACACCUUUCAAGAAGCUGAAACCAAAAUAAAAAAAAGAAUAUCUAUGUUAAAACC